rnacentral:lncRNA from 1 species
CAGGUGACCUUUGCCUGGUACAGCAUCACCGGGGCCAGCCUGCCUGCUGCUGACCCCAGGGUGCAGUGUGGGGACCCUGGCAGCCCGGGAUGGCUGGACCAGCCUUCCCCUCCCUCCCCGGCCUUCCGUGACCCCACCUGUCCAGACCCCGCGAGCACACCAGGUGAGCUAUUUCCCUCUGCAGCUUUCCUCCGCUUUCUCCCUCCACCCUCCGCUUUCUCCCUCCACCCUCCGGCCUGGACCCCCGGCGGUCGGAGGAGGAGGUGGAGACCUGCCAGCUGCAGGGGGGCCUGUCCAAGGCCAGAGCCACCCGAGCCCCAAGGGGCCAGCACCCAGGCGGGGGUUACCCGGGAGGGGGCACCGGCCUGCGCGGAGCCCUGGACUCGCAGCCGGGGCUCCCCUGCCUGCAGGCGGUGGGGGUCCACCCUGGCGGUGUGGGGCCACCUGGGCCCGGGCGGUCCCCCCACCCCAACCCCGAGGGCCGGGCAGAGGCUUCGAGAUCCACAGCGCCCGGCCCUGACUCUCCGUGGUGGCGGGGCGCGGAGGCCCCACGGGCAGCCAGCUGGGGCGGGAGCCAGGCCGACGGCCCCGCGGCCACCUGUGCACGAGCGCGAGGGCAGGUGCGCUGGGCGGGGCCUGACCCCGCAGCUGCUCCGCCUGCUGCUCGCCUCCUGGUCUCGGAGGCCGGGCCGCGGGCGCCGCCUGGUGGCCGCCACCGCAACCACAGCGCCCGACGGCGGGGAGGCCUCCAAGGUCAAGGGGCAGCGCAGGCCAGGCGGUGAGGACGCGGCGAGGGGGGGCGGGGGGGCAGGGGGGUCCUUCUCCUCCUCUAGAAAUCUCACCGGGAGGGGUUCCCUGGGGCGCACAGCCCUAGCAUCUGGACAGACACCCAGGGCAGGAGUCUGGCCAGGCUCGGCCGAGCUGCUGCGUCUUGGGCCUAGGGUGAAGGGGGCCGCCUGUAGGGCUGUAUCAUACCUGGCUCUCUGUUCUCGGGGACCCUCUGAUCUAGGAUGCAAUCCUGCCACCCAAGGUGCCACAGCUCCCCGCACAGCCAGCCAGGUGCCCGGGGUCCCACCUGCAGACUCUCACCUGACCCCCACCUGCUGCUCCUCAGGGCCUUUGGUUGGCCUGUUCACUGUCCCCCAGAUCCUUGUAUGGCCCCUGCUCUCCGCCGCCCCAAUAGCCCUGGUGGUCCCAGGACACCUUCCUUUCCUUUCGGUGGCUGGGCAAGGGGCGAGAGCAGGUGACGGAAGCUGGGUGUCGCAGGGAAAGUAA